GUAUUGUGGGGACCACCUCCUCGAGAGGUGUUGGGCAUUAGCCAGCCACGACGGCUUGCACGUGAGAACUAGACCCCUUCGUGCAGACAUCAAGCCAGCCGUCGCAGCCAGCCAGGCCGCUUUUUUGG
rfam:Burkholderia sp. OLGA172 chromosome 1, complete sequence.